rnacentral:rRNA from 1 species
CACGUAGGCACCAAGCGUUGUCCGGAUUUAUUGGGCGUAAAGAGCUCGUAGGCGGUUGAGUAAGUCGGGUGUGAAAACUCUGGGCUUAACCCAGAGCCGCCACUCGAUACUGCUCUGACUUGAGUUCGGUAGGGGAGCAGGGAAUUCCUAGUGUAGCGGUGAAAUGCGCAGAUAUUAGGAGGAACACCGGUGGCGAAGGCGCUGCUCUGGGGCGAAACUGACGCUGAGGAGCGAAAGCGUGGGUAGCAAACAGG